UGGGUUGAGCAAGUCAAGGGAAGAAAGCCGGUUAGCAGCUCCUGUCUCUGGGAUCCUGCCCUGUGUGAGUUCCUGUCCUGACUUCUUCAGUGACCAACAGCAGUACUGAAGUUUGGAUGGAUUAGACGAUGGAUUAGUUCUUCUUUGGCUGUUUGGAUCCGUUCAGAGCAGCGAGAUGUCUAACACUGGAGCUUUUGAAGAAGAGUGCAGAUCAGACAGAGUGGACAGGAGGUUGGUUACCAAGAAGCUCAAAGGUUAUUGAAAGAAAACAUGGCACAACAGAGAUCACUCAUGGCAGACAGAGAGCAGUGACUCCACCAGAGGCUGGGGGAUGAAAGGGGAGUUGUCCGAGUCGCUCCCCCAAAUCAGAGGAGUCCCAAAGAGACUCGAGGAGCUUUAAAAUGUGAGCAGCUUCUAGGAGCUCCACGAGGAACAUAAAACCUUGUUUCUAGUGAAUUACAAAAGCUUGCCACAUACCAUUUUGUUUAGAUAUUUUUAAAGAUGUUUUAUUUUUAAUUAUGUGUGUGUGAUAAUGAGUUUGUGCACGUGAGUGCGGUGCCCAGAGAGGUCAGAAGAGGGCGACAGACCUCCUGGAACUGGAGUUACAGGCAGUUGUGAGAUGCCUGAUGUGGAUGCUAGAACCAAACUGGUGCCCCUCUGAGGAGCAGUGCCAUGGUUAUAAUGCUGAGUCAUCGCUCUAGCCCCUUGACAUAUUUAAUAAAUACUAGAUAUAGGAAUGAGACAACUUUAUCACACAGUCAAAGCAAUAACUUGACUGAUCUAGAUUCUGUCCUUCUAACUUGGAGUUUAGUCUCCAUUCAGGUUUGAAAACAAAACGUUAGCUUGGAAAUGAAUCCAGCGAUGCUGGCUGGAGCCUUGGUUUAUCCCGUACAGAGGGAGUUCGUCAGCCUUGCAGUUUAACCAUUAACUGGAAUCUCUUUU